rnacentral:rRNA from 1 species
GCUUAGAGUUUGAUCCUGGCUCAGGACGAACGCUGGCGGCGUGCCUAAUACAUGCAAGUCGGGCGGAGUUUCCGCUUGGAAGCCUUCGGGCGGAAGGGCGGGAACUUUAGCGGCGAACGGGUGAGUAACACGUGGGCAACCUGCCCGCAAGACGGGGAUAACUGGCGGAAACGUCAGCUAAUACCGGAUAGGCACCGGGAGGGCAUCCUUCCGGUGGGAAAGGCGGAGUUUUCUGCCGCUUUAGGAUGGACCCGCGUCUGAUUAGCUAGUUGGCGAGGUAACGGCUCACCAAGGCGACGAUCAGUAGCCGGCCUGAGAGGGUGAUCGGCCACACUGGGACUGAGACACGGCCCAGACUCCUACGGGAGGCAGCAGUGGGGAAUCUUCCGCAAUGGGCGAAAGCCUGACGGAGUAACGCCGCGUGGAUGAAGAAGGCUUUCGGGUCGUAAAGUUCUGUCUUUAGGGAAGAAGUCUCUGUGUGUAAAUAAUGCAUAGAGGUGACGGUACCUGAGGAGGAAGCUCCGGCUAACUACGUGCCAGCAGCCGCGGUAAUACGUAGGGAGCAAGCGUUGUCCGGAAUUACUGGGCGUAAAGGGCGCGUAGGCGGGAUCUUANGUUAGAUGUGAAAACUCUGGGCUCAACCCGGAGACUGCAUUUAAACUGGGAUUCUUGAGGGCAGGANAGAAAGUGGAAUUCCUAGUGUAGCGGUGAAA